rnacentral:tRNA from 1 species
AGGAAUGUAGUUAAUUAUAGCAUUUGGUUUGCAUCCAAAAGGUACUAAAAAGUUAUUCUAA